rnacentral:lncRNA from 1 species
UAUAAAUAUCCAUAUAAAUAUUCCACUACUAUGACCUUAGUAUGUCUAGUCAACCUUCAUAUCAGCUGGCCACAAUCCAGCUUCCUUUUUUGACAUUCCUGUUUUUGUUCAUGGUGUCCCUAUGCUCCUCAUCGCCCAGACUUGAAAACCAGGAAUAGUUUUCUAUCUUUCCUGAACUUUUCUGUCUCCUGUCCUGGGUGAUCAGUUGAGAGAUCUUGUUGAGAUUCUCUUCUGGGAUGUCUCUUGCAUUUCUACUGUUAACACCCUAGUUCAGUUCCCACUUAACCCUUAUUAGAUUACUACCCUAGCCUAAGUCCUCCCACCUCUAUUCUCUUCCAGUCUGUCCAGUAACUGAGAACUGCUUAAGCUCUGCUGUCCACCAAAUGGAGUGCAGGAUUAGUUAUCUCACUUAACAAGUCCUCCUUGAUAUGGGCUUCUUUUCCUUUAGCCUUCUCUCCUAUUAAUCUUAGAUACAAAAUUGCUGCCAGUUAGGAUACCGAAUAACCUUCCUGGACCUUUCUUUGUCUCCUAGCUUUACUUAUUCUGUUUCUCUCCCCUGUAACUGCUCCCCCUCUCCUUUGUUCUGCCCACUGAAAUCACACGUAGAUUUUAUUUCCUAGUUGAUGCUAUCUUUGAGUGCUCCAUUCAGAGAUGAGCUUGCACUUCAUGUAUCUCUCUAAAAUUUUAUAUUGGAGUUAUUUGGGAAUUGGGCCACUCUGCUCUACAAGAUGGCAAGUAUAUGGAAGACAAACAUAUUCAUUUGUUAAUGUCCAGAUGUGUCUAGCAUUGUAGGUUGCAUGUGGAAGGGACUCAAAAUCUCUAAUCCUUCUUAUCUUUCUGUCAGUCAUUUUCCUAAAAGUGAAAAUAAAGCAAAAUUCAAAUUAAAUCGGAUCAUGUAGCUCAUCUGUUCAAAAGCUUUUGAAGGAUUCUCAUUGUAUAAUUAUCAAUGUGCCUUCCCAGCUUUAUUUUCUACAAUAUUUUCCACUCUACAUGAUCACCCCUUCCAGCCCCCUGUCUCCUGAAGUCAACAACUCACUCUGCCUGAAUUCACAUUAUGGUUUCCUGCCUUUGGUCUUUGGCCCAAGCUCUGUCCUCUUUCUUGAGUGUCCUUGGAACACCCUUCCUCCCCUUAUCCUUUAAAGCCAAGCCUCCUAGGUGUGCCAGACUUUGUGCUUCUGUUACAGAGUACCUGUGCCAAACUGCCUUGAAUCAGAUUUACUCAUGUGUUUCAGGCAGCUUUUCCCUAAAGGACAGAGGCUGUGUCUUGGCCAUUUCUGUCACCUACACUGUACUUAGCUCAGUAUUUGGUCCAGAGUUGCAUACCAACCUGUGCCCCUCAUCACUAGCUUCAUUACUCCAACCAACUGAGCAAAGAAGUCCCAGUGGGGGAUAGGGUGAAGCCAAAUAUUCUGGUUCCAGUUCUCUCCUCACCCAGGCCUUCUCUUGGCCCUUUGUGUACAAGUAACAGAAGGAAAUGGUCACAAAUUACAUUAGACUAAAAGCAGGAAAGGUCUCUGGAUUUAUUCUUAGGAGAUUGUCAAAGAAAAGAAAGCCUCAGACCUUGUCAUUAUUUAAAGCUGACCAGCAAAGCAGUAGACCCAUGAUGGAAAGAAUUAUGAAGUUAAAUCUACAAGACUGAGCAUGAUAUAUGUGUAUAUGUAUAUGUAUACGUAUAAUGUAUAUGCUAUAAUCAUAAUCAGCACAUUCAGGGUGCCUUUGGGCUGCAACUGAGACAAAAGCAAAUUUAA